rnacentral:rRNA from 1 species
CAGUCGCCGCGGUAACACGGAGGGUGCAAGCGUUAUCCGGAUUUAUUGGGUUUAAAGGGUCCGUAGGCGGAUCUGUAAGUCAGUGGUGAAAUCUCACAGCUUAACUGUGAAACUGCCAUUGAUACUGCAGGUCUUGAGUAAAUUUGAAGUGGCUGGAAUAAGUAGUGUAGCGGUGAAAUGCAUAGAUAUUACUUAGAACACCAAUUGCGAAGGCAGGUCACUAAGAUUUAACUGACGCUGAUGGACGAAAGCGUAGGGAGCGAACAGGAUUAGAUACCCGGGUAGUCCCUGUCUCUUAUAC